GGUGGUCAUCAAGAGUUGGGUCGACGCCCACACCAACCUGCCGUUCCGGGCAAGGUGGUUUUGCGAAAGCAGAUGUGGCCCACAUCCGGGCAACGAAGCGGAAGCUG
rnacentral:ncRNA from 2 species